rnacentral:misc_RNA from 1 species
UUUCCGUAGGUGAACCUGCGGAAGGAUCAUUAUUGAGAUCACGGGGGCCGCUCCCUAGGGACGGUCCCCAAAACCAAACCCACUGUGAACCGUUUGAGGGCGCACGUCGUCACACGUCGCCCCAACUUUACAACUGUCGUCAAGCGUCUGAAAGUAAAAACAAAAGAGUACAACUCUCAACGACGGAUCUCUUGGCUCUCGCAUCGAUGAAGAACGCAGC